CGAGCUAGCCAGGAGGAAGAGAUAAGCCCAAAGUCUGGGAUUUAUUCUUCUCCUUUCUCCUUUUCCUUUCUGCUCCAAACAGGCGAAUCUCUUUCUCUCUCUUUUCCUUUCCAACCUGGGACCCUUGGUGGGCAGCACCUAAACAUGGAAGCAACUGCAGGUUUCUGGCCAUGGUCAGUGAAACUAAGGGGUUUCCACAGGCAAAGCCCAACCACCACUGCCCAAUUUGCUUAAGGAAUCUGGGUCUUUUUCAUUUUUUUACUCUUCUUUUUUUUUUUUUUUUUCCGUCUUUCAAUGGCUGUUUCCUAGUAGCUCCUUGGAAACUGAGGACAAUUGGCUGAGGUCACUCCCCAGUGUUGCCUGAAGGCCUAGGAACAAAUGGGAAUAAUUGCCCUACCCAGAAGGGGAAAGGACUUUUUAAAAAUCUUUUCCACACCUGGUCCCUGAUUCCUAUGUGUGGUGCAGUUUGGAGCAAACUACCUGUUUCAGGUGACUCAAACUUUCUUUUCUUAUGCUAAAUUCUUCACUUCCCCUAUUCAACUGGCUAAGGGCAAAGGAAACCCACCAAGCCUCCAGUUCCUGUCAUUAAAGUUUAUGGAAUGGGAUAAGUUAUGGAAUGGGAUUUGAUAAGCGUGGCCUUAUCAAAUUAUAAGGAUGCUAAAAGUCGAGUUUUACACCCAGGAAACAGCUCACAGUAGGCUCUGGAGGGAAUGCAUGCAAAGUGGCACCGGUGCCCACCUAAGGCCAAGAGACAUCUGGAACUCUUAAGAUUGAACCCCACAGGAGGACACUCGGAGGGGAUCAUCCGGAACUCAAACUUUCCAAAGAAGAUGCUCUCUGCAGAGGUGAGAGACCAUCGAGCUUCAGAUGAUCACUCAACAAAGGCUCCAGCAAGUUCCAGGUGAAGACACCACCCCUGGCCAUCAAGGAGCUACCCUGCCUCCACUAGACACAGCAGGAAGCCAUUGGCUGCUCUUUGCAAGGAAUCCUUAGACAGACCUCUGGGAGGAAUCUGACUACUGUUUUCCCCAAAACAAUACGCCAUCAGCAGGAAGCGGCUAAGACCAGUCAUCAUCCAUAUUUUAAAGGCAGUUACACGUACUUCUUCAGAGGGGGAAAAUGAUAUGGAAGGGAGGAAGGGAAUUGCUGGGAAGGGAAGGGCAUGGUCCCUUUAA
rnacentral:lncRNA from 1 species